rnacentral:rRNA from 1 species
CAGUCGCCACGGUAAUACGGAGGAUCCAAGCGUUAUCCGGAAUCAUUGGGUUUAAAGGGUCCGUAGGCGGUCUUGUAAGUCAGUGGUGAAAGCCCAUCGCUCAACGGUGGAACGGCCAUUGAUACUGCAGGACUUGAAUUAUUGGGAAGUAACUAGAAUAUGUAGUGUAGCGGUGAAAUGCUUAGAGAUUACAUGGAAUACCAAUUGCGAAGGCAGGUUACUACCAAUUGAUUGACGCUGAUGGACGAAAGCGUGGGUAGCGAACAGGAUUAGAUACCCCCGUAGUCCCUGUCUCUUAUAU